ACCAUUGUGAUUAAUCCAUCAUUUGGAGAUGAAGCGGUGAUUAUGUCAGAGGUAGCUAAUGAAUUUACAUUUGUGGUUGACUCACUGUCUGCAGCAGUAGGUGUAGGAAUUGUGGAGGAACUAUGUGUACUAAUUAUGGGGGGAGCAGGUGAAGUAGCUGUUGGGAAAGAAGGUGUAUUUGCUGUGGUGCUAGCAGUUUCAGGGAAAUUAGUUUCAGUGGUAUCAGCUGCAGCUACUGUAGGACCACU
rnacentral:lncRNA from 1 species